rnacentral:tRNA from 1 species
ACUUAAAUAAUUUAAAUAAAAUAUUGAUUUGUGGAGUCAGAAAUAUGAUGAAUUCAUUUUAGGUU